GUCACCAGGGCCACAGCUGGAGAGAUAAAUACAUAACAAGAGAUAAUCAACAGGAGUGCAAGCUUGAAUCAGCAUGAAACAUGCAGUGUGUGCAGUUUCCAUGGGGCCCAUGGCCAGAAGUUAGAGAAAUCUGGCAGGAACACUCAGAAGUGUUCUUGGGAGAUACAGUGGGGAUGCCAUGGCUCUUCCUGAAAUCCUGAGAGCUUAUUCCUGCCCUUGAACUUCUAUUGGUUUUAUAGGAAAGGCUCUUGGAACCCCAGCACCUGAGCACAAUCCCAUUCUAAGAUUUCCUGAGUGGUAUCAUUUAAAUUUACAGAGACUGAUAAAUGUCACCUGUUAUCACCCGUCUCUCCUUCCAAAGAAAGAGAACUCCCAACUUUUAACCUGGCACAUGAUUACCCAAAAUGAAGACUCCAUAUAUCAGCCAUGGCCAAGUUUCUGACCAAUGAGAUAAAUAAAACAGACACGACUGGAUGUGAAACAGUCAUUUGGACCAUGAAGUGACCUUGGAAAAGGAAGCCAGGACUGGUGUCCAUAUAAGAAGAUAGCCCUGUGAAGACACAGACUCAGAGAGAAUUCUAAUAUGGAGAUGGAAACAAAAUCUGUAGUCAUGCUGCUCCAAGCUAAGGAAUACCUGGGGCUACCAGAAGCUCGAAGAAGCAGGAGAAGUUCCUCCCUAGAGGCUUCAGAGAACAUGACAUCUGACACAUUGAUUUCAGUUGGCUGACCUUCAAAGCGAUGAGAUAAUGUUGCUGUGUUUAUGUUGGAAAGGAAAGAUUCUGCCAAUACCAGAGAGGCUAGACUGAACAACCAACAGGAAACGUAUUAUAACAAGGUAGAUAAAGUAUGGAAGCAUUUGCACAAAAGUGAAGACUAGAAUGGCAAAGAAGAGAUGGAUUCAAGAAGCCCUAUGAAGGUAACAGUCUGGAUCGGUGAAAAAGGUUGAGGCAAGCGAGGAAGAAACUGAGGAAGAUUCUGAGGUUGCUGACUCGAUAAUUAAUGGAUAGUAAAUGCAAGUGAAGAGAGCAUUUUAUAAAUUACACAUUCAUAGUAAACUAUUAAAUUUAGUAUACAGCACAAUGUAAGUGCAACUUUAAAAGAAAACUGAAACAUGCUUAUUAGAUAUGUUAGAGAAAUUGAUGUUACUUUUAUGAGCUACUGGAGAGAAACUUUCAGUUUUAAAUAGCUUAGUUCUCAGUAGACAUUCAUUGUUUCCUGAAUGAGGGAAAUGGUACAAUUUAUUCAUUCGGCUAUGGGCAUGCAAAAUGUUAAGUUGGUGACAAUUUGUAUCUUCGUGGGUAUUUUUAACUUACUUAGCAAGCAGAUUAAGGGAAUAAAUUAUUAGGCAAAACUUGUAACAUUUACACAGAAAAUUUCAAUUGUCUGUAAGUGGAUUUUUGCUAUAUACCAGGUACAUUAUGAUUAGUCACCUCUUUGAAAGGUAAACAUUUAAGUAAUGAGAAAGAAUUUUUAAAAUGCUUCAACAUGAAAUGAAUGAGAAUGCCAACUACAUCAUAAAAUCCAGAAUUUUAACAAUACAAUCCAAAGCCAAAUAACAGUCAGGAUUCAGGCCUACCUCAAAAAUGCAAAGGAUAUAAAUGCAGGGAAAGCAAAGGAGGGCUAAUUUUGGCCAAGUUGGCUAUAUUUCCCUGGAAUGAAGUUAGCUACUUGAACAUUUUUAUAAAAAGAUGUUUUACAUGACUUGUAAAGCAACAUCUGUUCCUAAAGGCACUUUUAUAGGAUAAGUCUUAAUGAAAUUAUUUUUCAUUGAGGGCUAGUUUAGAUUCUACUGUAAGAAAGACCUGAAUGAUGCACUAGGGCAGUUUUAUGGAGUUGUCUUCCCCUGACUACAUCCCCCCACUCACUCCAUAUUUCUCCCUCUAGCUGAAAGCUGUAAACAUUUUAGGGCUUUGUGAUAGUCCCAGAACAAAACAGAACAUAUGUAGUAUAUUUUCAUAUGAGAAGAAAAAAAACCCAAACCCAUGAGGUCCUAAUUUCUAAAGUAUGCCUUCUGCCCAAAAUGCACCCUUGAUGGUGCCUCGAAAGUGUUGCAAAUCACUUAACACAAAUUAUUCAGAUUUAGAUGAAUCUGAAGCCCCAUCAGAAGAAUAUUAGUGGACUAUUUCACAUGGAGCCCAAUUAUAUGAUUUCUAUAUCAUUCCCUGACUACCCACUAAAAUUUUGCUGAUAUUAGCCUAUCCAAAAUGCCUUUCCAGGAUUUAAGUACCAAUAGUGUCUAUUACAAAAUUCAUCCGUGGUUUCUGUCAGAUUUCAGUUAAAUGCACAACAGGGAGAAAAAGCUGCUAGAAAACUGCAGAUUCCAUGGAUAAAGAAACAAAGAGAUGUAUUGUGUAUUGCUCUCAUAUUCUUGCAACCAGCACCUGAGUUAUCUGAUGACUGCUUCAUAACUGAAGGCUGCUGCAAUAUCCCUUUUGAAAAGUUGCACAAUAGCCCAAGUUUAAAAGAGAUCAACAUUUUACAUAUGAAGCCGGUACAGAGGGCCAUAACGUUCUCUCUCUCUUCCCCAUCCCCCCAGCCCCCUUUUUACUGUGCCCUUUGCAGAAUGUGUGGAGCCUCCUUUAUCAGGCCAAGAGAGAAGAAGCUUCUGCAUAAACAGAAGUGAUUGGAUUCUACCCUAAAAACGAAAAACCCAUUGAACAAUUAAGGAAGAAAUAUAAGGGGGAAUUUUUUUCCCUUGUGUUAAUGUCAAUAUUAACAUACCGCUAUAGGUUGAAAUACUUUUUUUUUUUUUUGAGACAAAGUUUCACUCUUGUUGCCCAGGCUGGAGUGCAAUGGCACAAUCUUCACUCACUACAACCUCUGCCCCCUGGGUUCAACCAAUUCUCCUGCCUCAGCCUCCCAGGUAGCUGGCAUUAUAGGCACCCACCACCAUGCCUAGCUAAUUUUUGGUAUUUUUAGUAGAGAUGGGGUUUCACCAUGUUGCCCAGGCUGGUCUCGAACUCCAGACCUCAGGUGAUCCACCUGCCUUGGCCUCCCAAAGUACUGGGAUUACAGGCAUGAGCCACUGAGCCCAGCCAAUAUACUUUUAAAACCCUAUUAAUUUGUAAAUUUUUAAGUGUGUACCAUUGAGAAAGAAAAGAAAAAGAAAUCUUUAGCAAGUUGGCAAAAUAGGCAGAAAGAAUAAGCAAUAGAAUAUAGGGACACAAUUCACUAUUUGAAUUUUAAUACUCUUAUGCUUUCAUAUGUGUUUAUAUAUGCAUAUAAUGCCUGUUGACUGAUUUUUUCUUCUUUUUUUAUAUACCUUGGUCACUG
rnacentral:lncRNA from 1 species